GACGAACGCUGGCGGCGUGCCUAAUACAUGCAAGUAGAACGCUGAAGAGAGGAGCUUGCUCUUCUUGGAUGAGUUGCGAACGGGUGAGUAACGCGUAGGUAACCUGCCUGGUAGCGGGGGAUAACUAUUGGAAACGAUAGCUAAUACCGCAUGAUAUUAAUUAUUGCAUGAUAAUUGAUUGAAAGAUGCAAUUGCAUCACUACCAGAUGGACCUGCGUUGUAUUAGCUAGUUGGUGAGGUAACGGCUCACCAAGGCGACGAUACAUAGCCGACCUGAGAGGGUGAUCGGCCACACUGGGACUGAGACACGGCCCAGACUCCUACGGGAGGCAGCAGUAGGGAAUCUUCGGCAAUGGGGGGAACCCUGACCGAGCAACGCCGCGUGAGUGAAGAAGGUUUUCGGAUCGUAAAGCUCUGUCGUAAGAGAAGAACGGGUGUGAGAGUGGAAAGUUCACACUGUGACGGUAUCUUACCAGAAANGGACGGCUAACUACGUGCCAGCCGCCGCCGUAAGAC
rnacentral:rRNA from 1 species